rnacentral:rRNA from 1 species
CCUACGGGUGGCAGCAGUGAGGAAUAUUGGUCAAUGGGCGGAAGCCUGAACCAGCCAAGUAGCGUGCAGGAUGACGGCCCUACGGGUUGUAAACUGCUUUUAUACGGGAAUAACGCGCCUUACGUGUAGGGCUUUGCAUGUACCGUAUGAAUAAGGACCGGCUAAUUCCGUGCCAGCCGCAGCGGUAAUACGGAAGGUCCGGACGUUUACCGGAUUUAUUGGGGUUAAAGGGAGCGUAGGCCGCAAGUCAAGCGUGGUGUUAAAUGUCCGGGCUCAACCCGGGCCGUGCAGCGCGAACUGGCGUGCUUGAGUCCGCGGAAAGCAGGCGGAAUUCGUCGUGUAGCGGUGAAAUGCUUAGAUAUGACGAAGAACCCCGAUUGCGAAGGCAGCUUGCUGCAGCGGAACUGACGCUGAUGCUCGAAAGCGCGGGUAUCGAACAGGAUUAGAUACCCGGGUAGUC